rnacentral:SRP_RNA from 1 species
CGGUGGGUCUAGGCGGGGGGCUAGGGGUCCCCUGAAAACCCCUAAAGGGGUUUGACCGCAAACCCCCUAUACGGCGGGCCGAAAGCUGAGGUGAGGCGCACCCAGCCCCACCCCUAACCAGCCAAACCCACCUAUGAACAUCUGUCCUCCAGGAUCCGCGUAGACAGCUGCUCCAUCCGUAGGGUUGGGGUGGCUGUCUCACCAGACAAACCUGGCUAGGCCCGGGAGGGAGCAACCUAAGUCUGGGCGUUGGAUGCUUGGAGGGGUGCGGGUGUGAGGUUGGAUGGUUGGUUUGGGUGGGGUAUGAGCGUCAAACCUCAGGACCCACCG